UACGUAGGGGGCAAGCGUUUGUCCGGAAUUAUUGGGCGUAAAGAGCGUGUAGGCGGUCCGGUAAGUCAGCUGUGAAAGUCAAGGGCUCAACCCUUGAAUGCCGGUUGAUACUGUCGGGCUAGAGUCCGGAAGAGGCGAGUGGAAUUCCCGGUGUAGCGGUGAAAUGCGCAGAUAUCAGGAGGAACACCGGUGGCGAAGGCGGGUCUCUGGGCCGAUACUGACGCUGAGGAGCGAAAGCGUGGGGAGCGAACAGG
rnacentral:rRNA from 1 species